rnacentral:rRNA from 1 species
GUUUGAUCCUGGCUCAGAAUCAACGCUGGCGGCGCGCUUAACACAUGCAAGUCGAACGAGAAAGUGGAGCAAUCCAUGAGUAAAGUGGCGUACGGGUGAGUAACACGUGGAUCAUCUACCUCUUAGUGGGGAAUACCCCCGGGAAACUGGGGACAAUACCGCAUAAGCCUGAGAAGGGAAAGUCGAAAGACGCUGAGAGAGGAGUCCGCGGCCGAUUAGCUAGUUGGUAGGGUAAUGGCCUACCAAGGCUUUGAUCGGUAGCCGGCCUGAGAGGGCACACGGCCACACUGGCACUGAAACACGGGCCAGACUCCUACGGGAGGCAGCAGUGGGGAAUCUUGCACAAUGGGGGCAACCCUGAUGCAGCGACGCCGCGUGAGCGAUGAAGCCCUUCGGGGUGUAAA